rnacentral:rRNA from 1 species
GAUGAACGCUGGCGGCGUGCCUAAUACAUGCAAGUCGAGCGAACGGACGAGAAGCUUGCUUCCCUGAUGUUAGCGGCGGACGGGUGAGUAACACGUGGAUAACCUACCUAUAAGACUGGGAUAACUUCGGGAAACCGGAGCCAAUACCGGAUAAUAUUUUGAACCGCAUGGUUCAAAAGUGAAAGACGGUUUUGCUGUCACUUAUAGAUGGAUCCGCGCUGCAUUAGCUAGUUGGUAAGGUAACGGCUUACCAAGGCAACGAUGCAUAGCCGACCUGAGAGGGUGAUCGGCCACACUGGAACUGAGACACGGUCCAGACUCCUACGGGAGGCAGCAGUAGGGAAUCUUCCGCAAUGGGCGAAAGCCUGACGGAGCAACGCCGCGUGAGUGAUGAAGGUCUUCGGAUCGUAAAACUCUGUUAUUAGGGAAGAACAUAUGUGUAAGUAACUGUGCACAUCUUGACGGUACCUAAUCAGAAAGCCACGGCUAACUACGUG